rnacentral:rRNA from 1 species
AUUGAACGCUGGCGGAAUGCUUUACACAUGCAGGUCGAACGGUAGAGGGGCAACCCUUGAGAGUGGCAACGGGUGAGUAAUGUAUCGGAACAUGCCCAGUCGUGGGGGAUAACGUAGCGAAAGUUACGCUAAUACCGCAUACGAUCUCUGGAUGAAAGCGGGGGACCGAAAGGCCUCGCGCGAUUGGAGCGGCCGAUGUCAGAUUAGGUAGUUGGUGGGGUAAAGGCACACCAAGCCAACGAUCUGUAGCUGGUCUGAGAGGACGACCAGCCAAACUGGGACUGAGACACGGCCCAGACUCCUACGGGAGGCAGCAGUAGGGAAUAUUGCACAAUGGGGGAAACCCUGAUGCAGCAACGCCGCGUGAGUGAAGAAGGCCCUUGGGUUGUAGAGCUCUUUAGCGUGGGAAGAAGGUAGAUAUGGUGAACAAUCAUGUUUGCUGACGGUACCACGAGAAUAAGCUCCGGCUAAUUUCGUGCCAGCAGCCGCAGUAAGAC